rnacentral:rRNA from 1 species
AUGUUGUAUGGCGCUGAGUGUUGGCCGACUAAAAGGCGACAUGUUCAACAGUUAGGUGUGGCGGAGAUGCGAAUGCUGAGAUGGAUGUGUGGCCACACGAGGAAGGAUCGAGUCCGAAAUGAUGAUAUACGAGAUAGAAUUGGGGUAGCACCAAUUGAAGAGAAGCUUGUCCAUCAUCAUCUGAGAUGGUUUGGGCAAAUUCAGCGCAGGUCUCCAGAAGCUCCGGUGCAUAGUGGACGGCGUAAUAUCAAGAAGCUCCAGAAGCUCCGCGUGCUGAUAAUGUCAGGUCGGGGUAGACCGAACUUGACAUGGGAGGUGUCCGUAAAGAUAGAUCUGAAAGACUGGAGUAUCGCCAAAGAACUAGCCAUGGACAGGGGUGCGUAG